rnacentral:lncRNA from 1 species
ACUUGGCUUCAACCUAGACUCUAACUCCUGGACUACUUCAUUGGGCUAUGCAAUUUUAGAAUUCAGUGGUCAUAAGAGAGUCAGUAUGCAAGAGGAGAGCCAAGUGACCUUGGUGUCAAAAGACCUAGGCUCAACUGCUGCCUCUACACAUUCUAUAUCUCCUGCUCUGGAUGAGGAAAUGCAAACUCAGUGGACUUAAGUGAUUUGCACAGCUGCUCAUUAUGCAUCUCAUAAGUGAGAGAGUCAGCUCUGGACCCACUUCUUUUGGAAUCCUAAGUCUAAUGCUCUGCCCACUAGACUGUAUUGCCUCUACAUCAUGAAGAAUGGAUUGGGAGCACUGGAAGGUCAAAUAUCCCUCACCAU